GAUGAACGCUGGCGGCGUGCUUAACACAUGCAAGUCGAACGGAAAGGCCGAAGCUUGCUUCGGUACUCGAGUGGCGAACGGGUGAGUAACACGUGGGUGAUCUGCCCUGUACUUCGGGAUAAGCUUGGGAAACUGGGUCUAAUACCGGAUAUGACGAUCGCUUGGAUGGGGUUGUGGAAAGCUUUUGCGGUAUGGGAUGGGCUCGCGGCCUAUCAGCUUGUUGGUGGGGUAAUGGCCUACCAAGGCGUCGACGGGUAGCCGGCCUGAGAGGGUGUACGGCCACAUUGGGACUGAGAUACGGCCCAGACUCCUACGGGGGGCAGCAGUGGGGAAUAUUGCACAAUGGGCGCCAGCCUGAUGCAGCGACGCCGCGUGGGGUAUGACGGCCUUCGGGUUGUAAACUCCUUUCGCAAUCGACGAAGCCUUUUGGUGACGGUAGGUUGAGAAGAAGCACCGGCUAACUACGUG
rnacentral:rRNA from 1 species